rnacentral:miRNA from 1 species
CAACAAGUCACAGUCUACCUC